rnacentral:tRNA from 1 species
GCCCUCAGUGGCUCAGAUGGAUAGAGCAUCUGCCAUGUAAGCAGGAGGUCCUGGGUUCUAGUCCCAGUUGGGGCA